rnacentral:lncRNA from 1 species
CUGAGUAGCUGGGACUACAGGCGCGUGCCACCAUGCCCCGCUAAUUUUUUGUAUUUUUAGUAGAGACGGGGUUUCACCGUGUUAGGAUGGUCUCGAUGGGUAGAAAGCAAAAAAAUCAUCACAUAAUUCAGCAAAAUAAUGAAGGCCCAACUGUGUAUGGUGGCCUGCGUCUGUGGUCCCAGCUACUCAGGAGACUGAGGUGGGAGGAUCCCAUGAGCCUAGGAGGUCAAGGCUGCAGUGAGCUG